AUUGAACGCUGGCGGCAUGCCUUACACAUGCAAGUCGAACGGUAACAGGUCUUCGGAUGCUGACGAGUGGCGAACGGGUGAGUAAUACAUCGGAACGUGCCCGAUUGUGGGGGAUAACGAGGCGAAAGCUUUGCUAAUACCGCAUACGAUCUACGGAUGAAAGCGGGGGAUCUUCGGACCUCGCGCGGACGGAGCGGCCGAUGGCAGAUUAGGUAGGUGGUGGGAUAAAAGCUUACCAAGCCGACGAUCUGUAGCUGGUCUGAGAGGAUGAUCAGCCACACUGGGACUGAGACACGGCCCAGACUCCUACGGGAGGCAGCAGUGGGGAAUUUUGGACAAUGGGCGAAAGCCUGAUCCAGCCAUGCCGCGUGCAGGAUGAAGGCCUUCGGGUUGUAAACUGCUUUUGUACGGAACGAAAAGCCUCUUUCUAAUAAAGAGGGGUCAUGACGGUACCGUAAGAAUAAGCACCGGCUAACUACGUG
rnacentral:rRNA from 1 species